GACGAACGCUGGCGGCGUGCCUAACACAUGCAAGUCGAGCGGAGUUAGUUUGUAGCUUGCUACAAACUAACUUAGCGGCGGACGGGUGAGUAACGCGUGGAUAACCUGCCUUUUACAGGGGGAUAACACAGGGAAACUUGUGCUAAUACCGCAUAACAUAUAGAAGUGGCAUCACUUUUAUAUCAAAGGAGCAACUCGGUAGAAGAUGGAUCCGCGUCCGAUUAGCUAGUUGGCGGGGUAAAGGCCCACCAAGGCGACGAUCGGUAGCCGAACCGAGAGGUAGGUGGGCCACAUUAGGCAUGAGGCACGGGUGAGACUCCUACGGGAGGCAGCAGCGGUGAAUAAGGAGCAAUGAGGGAAAACCUGACGCAGCAACGCCGCGUGAAGUAUGAAGGCGUUCGAGUUGUAAACGUCUUUAGUCGGGGACGAAUGGAUGACGGUACCCGAAGAAUAAGCCACGGUUAACUACGUGCCAGCAGCCGCGGUAA
rnacentral:rRNA from 1 species